rnacentral:lncRNA from 1 species
CUUCAGCUUCUUCUUCAUGGCUGACAUUAGCAUGUUCAACAUUUUCACCCUCAGCCUACUCCAAGCUUUCAAUCAAGGCUUCCAAAGAUUGUUUUCUAGUUGUGGCUACCCUAAUCCCUUCACCUAGCUCUUUGCAUGUCUCCUUAAGCUCAGCAAUUGCUCCAACUUUUGAGACUGGCCUCCUCAUGGAAGCUCUUUGCAUGUCUCCUUAAGCUCAGCAAUUGCUCCAACUUUUGAGACUGGCCUCCUCAUGGCAGAUGUCAUGACAAUAUCCUCGACAUGACUGCCUUCAAAGAGUUUGUAGUGCACAGACAGAGCUGGUUUUCUCCUACUAGGUAAAUAAUUUGAGCACAGAAUACCAGGAUGUUGAUUCAAGAUAAUUCCAUAAAUCAUAGAGGGAAAAGCAAUUGGCAGCUUAACUGCAUUAGUAGUUCCAUGCUUGAUGAUUUGAUCAAACAUAUAUCUACCAUAUUCCAAUUUCACUUUUUUCCCAACACAAAAAUAAACCUCCCAAGAGUAUUAGCAAUGGUGGAGAUAUGGUUGGUAGGGACCCAGUUAGCAGCUCCUAUUUUAUGCAGGAUAGCAUACUUGAUAGUCAACUUCCCAGCAGAAAGAUGCUUUUUAAAAGGCCAAACUUUCACCUGCUUAGCUGUAAUCUCCCUACAUACCUGAUUGUCUGUAACCUCUAAUUCUCCUGCACCCUCAUUAUUUCUGCCUAGAAAAUUAUUAAUAACAGUAGGAGAGAAUGUUAUACACUUACCCCUCACAUACACCUUGCAGAACUCCUUGUUGUUCUUAUCAGAAAUAUCCUCAAGAAUAUUAACAAUAAAUUCCUUGACUAAACCUUCGUAGCAUUGAGAUAACCCAACAACAGUCUUCAAAAGCCCAUCAGCUUGUAUCAGGUCCAUGACCUCCUUGACAUCAACAACAUCUUUUUCCAAUUCCCUUUCCACAACUACCCUUCUCUGCAUCACAAAUUUCCACUUAGCAGCUCCAUCCUCAAGAUGGAAGGAGAUGUUAUCCAAAUGAAUAACAGGUACUUUAAUAGGAGACUUAGUAACAGUAGUUUUCUUCGCAGGCGAGAUGUUAGUGACAUCUUCCUCAACAUCCUCUUCAGGCUCAAAACCUUCUCUGACCUUCCUCUUCUUUAUUUCAACCUUGCUCCAUGGUUUGGAGGGACCAAUAACAACAGUCUUGUUAGCUUUUCUAGCUGACAUAAGUUCAGCCACAGAUUUUCCUUUGUGAGUCUUCAUGCGUUUAGCCACACUUGGCUUUAUGUGAUGAAUCAAGCUUUCCUCUUGAUCAUCAGAGCUACCAUCCUCUAGAUCAAUCACAAUAUUUGCAUCAUCAUGCUUCUCAGAGUGGGAAGCAUUAGCCGUGUUAGAGGCCACAUAUUUCCCUUUGUCAGACACGGUUUGCCCUAGAGAGCACAACCCUUCAGUAGCCAAGGCCUUUUUAGAACUGGAGGAAUCACCACCCUUACCACUAGGUUGUUCAACCUCAGGAGGGGGAUACAUUUGAGCAAGGGGAGUAGAAACCCCCUUCACAGAGUGACCUUCAUUAAGAAUUCUAGUAACUAUGUCUCUUGUAACACGAUCAGUAUAGUGUGUUCCUUCCUUAUACUUAGUGACAUGAGUUGAACCAGACCGAAUAUUAGAGGGAUUACCUUGAUUGGAACAUGCAGAAGCGGAGGUAUUAAUGGAGAUGGGUUGGUUCAAAUCAAUGUCCGUGGCGGGAAUAACAGAGAGAAGAGCAACAUCCAGAAUCUCAUCAUCAGGGACGCCCAUGGGAGGAACACUAAAUUUUGGAGUAGACUUAGUAUUUUUAGAAGCAAAUGUAUCUUGAUGUUGUGACAUUUUGGAGUUUUUCUGGAAAAAGUAAGGUUGCCCUAGCAGAGGUUUGUGGAGAAGGAAAAGGAAGAUGGAAUAGUUGGAGUAGGUAAUGGGGUUAUGGGGUUAGGUGUGAAGAUAGAAUAGAUGGUAUUUCCAAUACAAGGUAAUGAUUUACCAUAAUGGGGGCACUUUUUUUUAGGAAAAUAGACUAUAAUUUGAGUACUUUUUCCACUCCAUAUUAAUUUCUACAAUUUUCAUAAAUGCAAAUCCCUAAUCUCCCUCUCAGGAAUUCAAAUUGAUUUGCAUCCAAGCCUUUGUCAAAAUAUCAGCUAACUGCAUCUCAGUAGCAACAUGCCAAGGCUACAAUCUUAUCCUCCACAAGUUCUCUAAUAAAAUGGUGACGGGAUAAUCAAUAUGUUUGGUCCUGCUGUGCUGAAUAGGGUUCUUUGAGAUGUUUAUAGCACUCAGGUUGUCAUAGUACAAUGUCAUGACAUCUUGUGUGACAUUGUAUUCAGUCAGCAUUUGUUUCAUCUACACCAGUUGAGAACAACUACUUCCAGCUGCUAUAUAUUCAGCUUCAGCAGUAGACAGAGAAACACAAUUUUGCUUCUUACUAAACCAUGAUAUUAGAUUGUUCCCCAAGAAGAAACAUCCUCCUGAUGUGCUUUUCUUAUCAUCAGCGCUUCCAGCCCAAUCAACAUCACAAUAGCCAGAUAACACAUAAUCAGGUCCAUGAGUGUAUAGCAUCCCAUAGUCACAAGUGCCAUUGACAUAUUUUAGGAUCCUUUUCACUUGGUUUAUAUGGCUCACCUUUGGUUCAUCUUGAUAUCUAGCACAUACACCUACAGCAAAAGCAAUGUCAGGUCUGCUUGCUGUAAGAUAUAGCAGACUCUCUAUCAUGCUUCUGUAGAGACUUUGAUCCACACUGACACCAUUUUCAUCUUUAGACAACUUCAGAUGAGUAGGAGCAAGUGUCCUCUUGUGGCUUGCAUUCUCCAUGCCAAACUUCUUAACUAUAUUCUUGACAUAUUUACUUUGAGAUAGAAAGAUAGAAUCUCCCAUCUGCUUGACUUGCAGGCCAAGAAAAAAAGUUAGUUCUCCGACAAGACUCAUCUCAAAUUCAGACUACAUUUGUUCAACAAAAUGUUGAACCAUCUUACUUGACAACCCACCAAACACAAUAUCAUCCACAUAGAUCUGAGCAAUCAUGAGCUUUCCUCCUUCAUCUUUGACAAAUAAAUUCUUAUCAAUGCCUCCCUUUCUGUAUCCAUUGUCAAUGAGAAACACUGUGAGUCUCUCAUACCAAGCUCUAGGAGCUUGUUUCAACCCAUAAAGAGCUUUCCUCAACUUAUACACAUGCUUUGGAAGAUUUGGAUCUGUGAAUCCCUUUGGUUGUUCAACAUAUACUUCCUCAUUCAAGUAGCCAUUUAAGAAGGCACUUUUCACAUCCAUUUGGAACAUUUUAAACCUUCAGAAUACAUGCCACUCCUAGCAAUAAUCUAAUGGGCUCCAGGCGAGCUACAAGUGCCAAUGUUUCUCAAAGUCAACUCCUUCAACUUGAGUGUAUCCUUGAGCUACUAACCUUGCUUUAUUCCUAGUAACCACACCUUUUUCAUCAGAUUUAUUCUUGUAUACCCACUUUGUUCCAAUAACAUUUAUUCUUUCAGGUCUUGGAACCAAAUCCCAUACUUCAUUUCUCUUGAAUUGGCCUAACUCUUCAUGCAUGGCAUUGAUCCAAAAUUCAUCAGUUAAAGCUUCUUUAACAUUCUUAGGCUCAAUCUUUGAUACAAAACAGGCAUGUCAGAUCACUUCCCUUGAUCUAGUGGAGACUCCUUUAUUUAGAUCUCCUAUAAUGAGAUCUUUAGGAUGCUCCUUCUGAAUUCUGAUAGAGGGUCCCUUGUUUACUUGAUCAGCUUCAGGUUCAACCUGGGUGGACUCACUCUCACUACUUUUAUCAGAAGGUUCAGCUGGGGCAUCAUUCAGAAAUGUUUCAACAUCGUCUGUGACACCAGUCUCUUGAUCAUCAACAACAACAUUGAUAGAUUCCAUCAUAACUUUAGUUUUGGAAUUAAAGACUCUAAAGGCUCUGUUGUUUGUUGAGUAGCCCAGAAAUAUUCCUUCAUCACUCUUGGGGUCCAUUUUCCUUCUUGUCAUACCCCAAUUUUGUCCAGACAUUUUUAAAUCUUACAUAAGUUUGAUUUCAUUUUCAAAUUGCAUCAUAUGCAUAUCAUGACAUGCAUUUCAUCAUGAAUAAUACCUAAAAUAUCAGUCGGAAUAAAUUAUUGAAAAUACGAAUAAAUCAGUUGAAUCAUUUCUCAUAAAACGUGCAAAAUCAGCGGGUAAAAAGUUUCAAAAUUAAAACUGCAGACGCCAGUAUUAUCAAUCUACGAUUCGCAUAGUUCAGCCUGGUGUGCUCAUUAUAUUUUUCAACGACUUUUUCAAUCGCAUUUUGAUCCGUCUGAGCCUGUUAACCGGUGAAGAAACACUGUAUUUUUUUAAUAUGUAUAUUUUGUGGUGAUCAUUUUAGUGCGUCCGAUUUAAUUUUUCGAGCAAAUUUUUUCCCGAUUUUUAUUCAUUUCUAGUCGUUUUAAUUUUAUUCUUUCGCCAAAAUGUUCAAAAUAAAUAAAAAGAAUUUUCCAUGCUUUUAUUUUAUUUUUACCACAUCUAUUUCCAAAGUCAUGAAUUUUAUUUGAUUUAAUUGGUUUAAAUUGUUUUAAAUCAAUUAAAUCAUUUAGAAGAGACAUUUUGACAAUUAAAUUAUUUGUGUGAUUCUUUGAUUCGAUCCCGAUCAUCGAUUCAAAUUUAUCAGUGGUCUGUGUCAAAUAAUCGAUGUGCAUUUUGUUAUCCAAUCGAAACUAUAAGUUAAUUAAUUUGAUAUUAUUAAAAGAAAUUAAAAAAGGCCGGAAAAAUAAAGAGUUUGUUUCUAUCCAUUCACAUGUGACACAUGCUCAUCACCUAGAAGGACCACUCCCAACGUAAAGGAGAUAUGCUCCCUGUCUCAUGAGCUGGCGAGGAAAGGAGGAUAAGGUUAGGAAAUAAUAUCUCCUUGUAGCCAAUAACGGAUAGCCACAUGUCCGAUUCUCUAAAAAAAGAAAAUAAAAAAGAAUCUAUCCAAUCAUUUUAGAGAUCCACGAAAUCCACUCAAAACUUCUCCACCUACUACUCUCUUCUCUCUCUCGGGACUCAAAAAAAUAAAAAAAUAAAACUCCACUUAAUAAAGGAUUUCCACUCAUAACAUCACUCGUUCACCUCGGGAAGGAUAACUACUCCAUCUCUCUGAAAAGAAAAAGAGAAAAAUUAAUAAACUUUUCGUCUCCUUCCUCAAAAAUCCACCGCCGACCUCUCCCUCCAUCGCCGUCCAAUCGGAGAACCACACAACGGUUUCCAAACCGCUUCCACUCACCGGCAAAACCAACCGUCACUCCUUUCUUCGCCGUCGACCAUACGGGCCCGUCACCAUCUCCGCCAUCUUCAUCAUCGAACGUCGAUGAGCACCAACAAGCGCCGUCACAAACCCGUCGCACUCCAUCACCCUUCUAAAUCCCUCCGUCCGCGACUCCAAAUAACCGCCGUCACAACAUCCACUUCUCCCGCAUCGGCAAACGAAACCACCCUAUCAACCUUGUCCGAUGCCCCACAAUCAGACUCUUUUCUUCUCUCUUCCAUAAAUCGUAGAUCUACCACCGAACAACGGCAUCAACCUUCACGGUUCCGCCACAACAACAAUAUAAAUAAUACCUCACAAAUUCCAACAUUCCAAGGCGGCAUCAUUUUUACAUCCAGAUCGAGCAUACCCACUAAAACCUCACGGCCAUCCUAAGAUAUCGCAAGCUUAGAACGAAUGAGGUUUACUGAUGCAUAAGCUUGGAAGGUUUUAAAAGCAAUUUAUUCAUUUUGCUGAGAUAUGACAACAUCAAAAAUUACAUGGCAAAAUGAUGGGUUUUCUGUCAACAUACGUCACCGCCUCCGAGUACAUGUUCGUUUCUUCUCUUUUGAGUUGUUUCACUCUACUUUUGAAUUGCCCUUUUACUUAUGAAAUAAACCUGUGUUGUAUGUGUGAUAGAAUUUUUUUAUUAAAGUUUAUUAUGUGUGAUAGAAUUUUUUUAUUAUUAAAGUUUAUGUAGUUUUACGGUUCAGAAAAGAUAUAAGAGGAAAAACUUCAUGGUUUAGUCUUUACGUCUUUAUCCAUGCCACUAUUUUUGAUUGAAUGCUCUUAGUUUUUGGUUAAGAAUAAAAGAGUGCAUGUGUUGUCUACUUUAGAAGAAAUCAAAUCUAUUCUUUUUUUAUUUCUUUUUCAUAUUUAUUAUGUAUGGGAUGUUAAGAUGGGUUUUAGUUUGGUCUCCUCUAAAUUAAGCCCAUUAAGCAUCUUUUCACCCCCUAUAGUUUGUAAUAUAUUUAUGUUAUUACUAUUUGAUUUUGAUUUCAUUUGUUUUAAAGUCGGAUUUUAAUCCCCGGAUUCGACAAACUUAUGUCGUUAUGCUGCCCAAGUUUCUAUACAGUGAUUGAGAAUUUUCACCGCGUUUCGGUCCUUACAUACGACAUUUCAACUCCGUUGUCGCUAUGUACAAACCGGUUCUUG